AAUUCACUAGUGAUUUUGGAGGGCAAGUCUGGUGCCCGCAGCCGCGGUAAUUCCAGCUCCAAUAGCGUGUAUUAAAGUUGUUGCAGUUAAAAAGCUCGUAGUUGAAUUUCGGGAUCAGUAUGUUGGUCGUGCUUCGGUACGUACUGUCAUUACUGGUUUCUCCCUUCUGAAGAACCUUGAUGUCAUUAAUUUGGUGUCUUGGGGAAUCAGGACUGUUACUUUGAAAAAAUUAGAGUGUUUAAAGCAGGCAUACGCUUGAAUACAUUAGCAUGGAAUAAUGAAAUAGGACGUUUGAUUCUAUUUUGUUGGUUUCUAGGAUCGACGUAAUGAUUAAUAGGGAUAGUUGGGGGCAUUAGUAUUCAAUUGUCAGAGGUGAAAUUCUUGGAUUUAUUGAAGACUAACUACUGCGAAAGCAUUUGCCAAGGAUGUUUUCAUUAAUCAAGAACGAAAGUUAGGGGAUCGAAGACGAUCAGAUACCGUCGUAGUCUUAACCAUAAACUAUGCCGACCAGGGAUCGGAUGAUGUUAUUUUUAAUGACUCAUUCGGCGCCUUACGGGAAACAAUCG
rnacentral:rRNA from 1 species